CCCUGCCUAUUCCCGCAGCCAAUCUCGUGCCAUCUUCUGUCCCCAAUCCCUGCAUCCAUCUCUCCCCAAUCCAUGCCUCCAUCUCUCCCCCAUCCCUUCUCUAUUGGUUUGCUCCAUGGCUGGAGCAGGGAGAGGCAAAAGGAAGCAUCAAACCAUGGAUGAGGAGGUGGAGCUCGAUGUAGAUCGCCAUCGCGGGAGCAGCGCCGCCUCGCCGGUCAGGGAUGGGAGGGCGUACGAAGGGGCAGGCACAGGAGACGCGCUUUAGAGGAGUACUGCUCGACGCUGGUUCGUCCGGAACGAGGAUGGCUAGCAACGCAAGUACCAGGGACCCCUCCACAUCUUCUUCGUCACUGAAGAUGUCAGCCCGCCUCUCCCUCUUAUUUUCAGGUUCUUCCUCUCUCUCUCUCUCUCUCUCAGAUGUGUUCUCCUAUAGCCUGAACCAAAGUGAAAGCAGACUUCUCUUGUUUGAUUUAGCCCCCUGAACAUCAUGUUUUGGUUUGUGCAGAUCCGUUAGAUCCGUUUCUAUAUGGAAGUUAAUCUUAUAAUUGAUGAAUUCAUGCUUUGCUUAUGUGGAUAUCAUACAUAUAUUGUUAACUGUCAAUUGAUUUGUUCUAUGAAUAUCUUCAUGCUUUUAAAUAGCAGGUUAUUGUAAAAAGAGAUUUGUGUGCACUUGCUUCGUAUAGAGCUCGGCUAUGUUUUAAUCUGAAAACUAGGACGACCAUGACUAAACCGAAUUUGAACUUGACGGUGAAUUUGUCGGAUGUCUGGUUCUUUUUUCUCUUUCGCGCGAAAAACACAUUCCUUAAUUCAAAUUCACAUGAAUUUAGUUGAAAUCUCUAAAUGUAGUCUCGUGUGUAUACUGGGUACGCUAUAUACAUGGAGGAUAAGUGGUCUUUGUAAUGCUUGUGGUGAAAUGGAGAUAAGUAGAACAUAGAAUUGAAUGCGAAAGCUUGAAUGUGUGCUUGUCUCAGUCCUAUGGCACUCCCAUGAAGGUGUUAAUCGUUGACCUGACUUGGUUCUACUCGAUCAACAUGUUCACUCACAAGAGUUUUUACGCAUACUGCAAUCCGUUGUUUGUCUAGAAUUUAGUUUAUUUUCAAAAUAUAUAUGGUUUUGUGGUGUAUGGUUCUGUGAUCUAUCAAGCUCUCUUGUUCAUUGCUUUUUUUGGGUGUUUGUUGCUCUGUCUUGACAUCUGUUGUGGUGCAGGCUGAAGCUAGAUGGGCAUUUAAAGUUUAUGCCUACAUUGGAAAAUCCAUAUUCAACAUUAUUGGGUAAUGAUGUUUCUGAACUUUAUUUCUAUUUUAUACCACAAAUCUGGAAGUCCAUUUAUAUAGCAAUGAUUCAUGCACACGGGUUAAUAACAUCUUCAAGAUAGGAUUGUUGUCGUGCUUGUGGAUUUUACUUCGUUAUGUGAAAGAUGAAAAUGAACCUUCAUAGCCAUUGUUUAUGUCUGCUUGUUAUUAUGUUUAUAUUCUCCUCUGCCCUUAAUUAUGCUCUGGGUAGAUUUGUUGGCCUGCACCUGGCUCUACCUAUAUUAAACCAUAUUUGUUCGUUUCUCAUUGCUUUAGAAAUUCAUAUUUAUAUGCUAGCUGGUAUGUCAUAGGUCCAGCAGCGGUGGCAAAGAUGGUGUGGCGGUGAAGAAACCAAAACAGUUUGUGUCCAGACAAUAUUUGUCUGCAUAAAGUAUACUAUGUUGAUUCUAUUCGAGUACACCAUGAUGAUUUUUGUGUUCUUUGUUCUUGUCUUGGUUUCGCAGGUGAUCUGUUAUGUAUAGCCUUCUCUUGAUGGAUGGUUCCUAUUGUGAGGUCAUCUCGCAGCGCUAUGUGGAGAGCUCAUUAGUACUUUAGUAGUGCUCACUAACUCGACGUGUACUCAACGUGUCUGUGUCUGGACUCACACUACUACUCUCUACUACUAUUGGUUCUCUGCUAUGCUGUCGAGCUAAUGGCCGCAUUUAUGUUGUCACGAUCUAUACCGAGCGGAUUACUAAUCAAUCAUUUUGUUUAGUUACAAUCACAAUAAGUUUAUGAGGUGCCUACAUAGGUUGGUUUGUUGCGUCAGAUUUUCUUAUGCUCAUGUUCAUACUUUCUUUGAGAAAUAAAAUAUUUGAUGUGGGGCUUUUGCCUCACAGUAUACCAAUAAAAAGAAGUUUCAGUUAGUUUUACAGAUUAAAAAGGCUUUUCAUUGAAAAGAAAGCUUUCUUCCAGCCUAAACUUGCCUCUGGUUUUAUUCUAAAAAUGUAUUGAGUUUACUGUCAUUAGUGGAAGUUACUUAGCAGGCACUAUCAAUUUCUACACCAAGCAAUGGAUACAUGUACUGAGGCACUAUCAAUUUCUACACCAAGCAAUGGAUACAUGUAUUCAGGCACUAUCAAUUUCUACACCAAGCAAUGGAUACAUGUACCCAGCGUAGAUUCUUUUACUCAGUGGAGACAAGCGCUCCUUUUUCCUUAGCAUAUGCCUGCAAAGUAGCCUGACAAUCGAAAUAUCAUUCAUCUGUAGGCCAGGCACCCUGCAAUCCUAGAAGAGCACAAUAUAUUGCUUUUUUUACAUGCAUAUAUAAAUGUUCGGAGAUACCUUAUUCUGAUUGAUCGUUCCAGGUAUUGAUACUACUUGGCUCCUUUUCUCUACCUUUCUGGCCUAACUAAUAAGAAUGAGGUAAGAUGAGACAAGUAUUUUAGUUUCGAUGGAGAGAUGGAAAUUUCUCAGUUUUCAAGGACAAAGGUGAGGCAUGUGUUUUAUUUUUCAAACUGAAGCACAAUAUGUGUCUCUUUGGGUUAUAUUUGCAUAUAUUAUCGCAUAUUUUAGUCUCUUCUGGUCCUUUUUGCUCUAAAAAUAUUGGUCAAGAAGUUAAUUUGCAGUAUUGAAGUACAUGUUAUUUUCCUGAAAACAACAUUCAUGUCUUGUGUAAUUUCAGGUCCAUAUAAUGCCUCCCUGAACCUAACAAUGCCAUGGCUCUGCUUUAUCCUGACCUUCUACUGAUUUUUUUAGUAAUUAGCUCGUUUUGGAGCUUUUUCUUCCUCUUUGUAUGCUUAUGUACUUUGCUUGAUUUGGUGAGACUUGAGUAAGGAUCUCCUGGAAAGUAUUCAGUAAGGAUCUCUGUCCUCUUUACAAACUUUGGUUUGUCAAGUUAUCAGGUCGUGCUCCUAUGCUUUCGUAGAUCCAUUGAAAAUUUGCUAUGGCUAUUUACCUGCCAGGAACAUCUAUGAUAUUCAUCUUAGGCACCUCUUUUAUAUAUGCCCAAUCACAUAUUUUUUUAUAUAAAUUUCUCCAUAUCAAAUUAUCUGUACAAGUUUGAGCACUUUUACCUCGGUAUAGAAUUGUACUUUUUUCUCAAAACUGUUGAUCUGAUUUUGUUCAUCGUUGUCUGCCAUAUGAUUCUUUAUCUUUUUUCCUCCUCUAGCUGUUGGUUGAAUGAUUAAAUUAAUACAGGCCGUUACACAUGGUAUGGUUUUAGAUGAUUUUGCUAGAUCAGAUACACAGAAGAAGUGGUACAAGGUAAAUCAAAAAUCUCACUGAACUGUUGGAUGUUUGGGUUAUCGUGGAUACAUAGUUGUUCUUCGAUGAUCUUUGCUUUAUUGUUUUCAUGUGCCUCUUGAAUUUAGAGGUUAGUUCUGGAUGAUGUUUUGCCGAAUAGCGACGUCGCCCAACUAGAGUCUGAUGGCAUACUGAUAGUUUCCCUUUUCUUUUAUAGGCAUAACUAAUUUUCCUGGCAUUUAGAGUGCCGAGGCGGAAUGUAUGGCAUAGAUUCUUGACAUCGGCAACCUUACUGUUAUCUUCAUGCUGGACCUUGCCGUGUCGAGUGGUUGCUGCUUGGAUAUGGGUUUGCUUGUGCUACACGUAGUAUCUUCCAAGCUCACUCUUCUGUGCCUAUGUGGAUGGUUGUUUUGAUCAAAUGGUACUAUCUUAUAUCCAUACCCUCUAGCCACGCAUGUUCGUUUUACCAUCACCGUGAGAAGCUUAGCCCUUCAGACUCGUGGUGAUGGUUGGAGGUGAAGGCAAGGUGUUUUUUCUUGAUGAUUUUUCAUUUGUCACUGAACAAUACUCUGGACAUAUUUAGUUCAUGCCUUUCUAUCUUAUAGCAGUGUAAAGGAACCUCUUGCAGGGUAGUACAUUGUUCCUUCUCUAUAUUCUCUGUGUGGAAAACAAAACACAUAUUUACCACUUAUUAAUAUUCUGAAUGUUGUGUUUAUU